rnacentral:tRNA from 1 species
CAAGGUAUGGCUGAAUAAUUAAGCAUCUCACUUACACCGAGAAGAUAUCUGUGUGAAUCGGAUUGCCUUGA